GGACCCAUAGCUCAGCUGGAUAGAGCACCGGUCUACGGAACCGGUUGUCGUAGGUUCGAAUCCUACUGGGUCCG
rnacentral:tRNA from 1 species